rnacentral:tRNA from 1 species
UGCAAGUUAGUACAUCUAGUACCUUUAAUUUAGGCUUAAAAAAAAGACUUAUCAUCUACUUGCCA